rnacentral:tRNA from 1 species
AAGAUUUUAAGUUAGAAAAACUAUGUACCUUCAAAGUACAAAACAAUUAAUAUAAUUAAAUCUUA